CACGCCCUAAACGAUGCUCACUAGGUGUUGGGGAAGCGAUUCCUUGGUACCGUAGCUAACGCGUGAAGUGAGCCGCCUGGGGAGUACGGCCGCAAGGUUAAAACUCAAAGGAAUUGACGGGGACCCGCACAAGCGGUGGAUGAUGUGGAUUAAUUCGAUGCAACGCGAACAACCUUACCUACCCUUGACAUGUCCGGAAGUCUGCUGAAAGGUGGAUGUGCUCGAAAGAGAACCGGAACACAGGUGC
rnacentral:rRNA from 1 species